rnacentral:rRNA from 1 species
GUGAAGCCGCGAAUAGCUCAUUACAACAGCCACCGUUUACUAGAAUAUAGUUAUCCUACUUGGAUAACUGUGGCAAUUCUAGAGCUAAUACAUGCAAAAAAGCUCUGCCCGCAAGGAACGAGCGCAUUUAUUAGAAUAAAAACCAAUCGGGUUUCGGCCCGUAAUUUGGUGAAUCUGAAUAACUUUGCCAAUCGCACAGUCCUAGUACUGGCGAUGUAUCUUUCAAGUGUCUGCCUUAUCAACUUUCGAUGGUAGGUUAUACGCCUACCAUGGUAGUAACGGGUAACGGAGAAUAAGGGUUCGACUCCGGAGAGGGAGCCUGAGAAACGGCUACCACAUCCAAGGAAGGCAGCAGGCGCGCAAAUUACCCACUUCCAGAACGGAGAGGUAGUGACGAAAAAUAACGAGACAGUCCUCUUCGAGGUCUGUCAUCGGAAUGGGUACAAUUUAAAUCCUUUAACGAGGAUCUAUUGGAGGGCAAGUCUGGUGCCAGCAGCCGCGGUAAUUCCAGCUCCAAUAGCG